rnacentral:rRNA from 1 species
UACGUAGGGUGCAAGCGUUGUCCGGAAUUAUUGGGCGUAAAGAGCUCGUAGGCGGUUUGUUGCGUUGUUCGUGAAAACCGGGGGCUUAACCCUCGGCGUGCGGGCGAUACGGGCAGACUUGAGUACUGCAGGGGAGACUGGAAUUCCUGGUGUAGCGGUGGAAUGCGCAGAUAUCAGGAGGAACACCGGUGGCGAAGGCGGGUCUCUGGGCAAUUCCUGACGCUGGAGGCGACGGAAAGACGUGGGGAGCAAACGGG